GCCAGAGGUGAUAGCGCGUUGAAUACAUGAGUUCCCCAAAGAUCACUGAAGUUAAGCAAUGAUGCGCGUGGUUAGUAUCCGAAUGGGUGACCAUCUGGGUAAUCGCGUUCGGACUUUUUUUC
rfam:Asian citrus Psyllid, Diaphorina citri - Florida Strain, whole genome shotgun sequence.